GAUCUGGCUCAGGAUGAACGCUAGCGGCAGGCUUAACACAUGCAAGUCGAGGGGCAGCGGGGAGUAGCAAUACUCCGCCGGCGACCGGCGCACGGGUGCGUAACGCGUAUGCAACCUACCUUUAACAGGGGCAUAACACUGAGAAAUUGGUACUAAUUCCCCAUAACAUUCGAGAAGGCAUCUUCUUGGGUUAAAAACUCCGGUGGUUAAAGAUGGGCAUGCGUUGUAUUAGCUAGUUGGUGAGGUAACGGCU
rnacentral:rRNA from 1 species